rnacentral:rRNA from 1 species
AUUGAACGCUGGCGGCAGGCCUAACACAUGCAAGUCGAGCGGAUGAAGAGAGCUUGCUCUCUGAUUUAGCGGCGGACGGGUGAGUAAUGCCUAGGAAUCUGCCUGGUAGUGGGGGAUAACGUUCCGAAAGGAACGCUAAUACCGCGUACGUCCUACGGGAGAAAGCAGGGGACCUUCGGGCCUUGCGCUAUCAGAUGAGCCUAGGUCGGAUUAGCUAGUUGGUGAGGUAAUGGCUCACCAAGGCGACGAUCCGUAACUGGUCUGAGAGGAUGAUCAGUCACACUGGAACGGAGACACGGUCCAGACUCCUACGGGAGGCAGCAGUGGGGAAUAUUGGACAAUGGGCGAAAGCCUGAUUCAGCCAUGCCGCGUGUGUGAAGAAGGUCUUCGGAUUGUAAAGCACUUUAAGUUGGGAGGAAGGGCGUUUGGCUAAUAUCCAGGCGUUUUGACGUUACCAACAGAAUAAGCACCGGCUAACUUCGUGCCAGCAGCCGCCGUAAAAC